GUCCACGUCUUCCACGGUACACAAUGGCCCCGAAGGAAGGACCGCUGGCCGCCCGGCCCAAAUGAAAAGGGGACUCCGAGGCAAAUGGAAAACCUAUGAAAUGGUGGCUCCAUAAUUUCCUCCUAUAUCAUCCCAGCACCUGGAUUUCUACCCUCAGAAUCACCUUAUAUUCCAAUAUGGCUGUUGGUGGUCCAGCUCUCACCACUGAUUUUCAGGCUAAAGGUUAAAAGGAAAAGUGGAAGGGCAUAUUGCAUUUCCAGAACCCAACAUCUAUUGGCAUUCAACCUUAUUUUUCCACCUCUGACUAGACACCAAGGAAUAAAAGGUGUUGCAGAAAUACAAAAAUGGAAGAAAUCAAGGCUUUUGGUGAGAAAGUAGUUCUGAUGAUCAACUAUAGGGCUCAAGAUGGGUCAGUAAAGAAGAGAUAUUACAUAGGAAAGAGGGUUAUCUUUUUUAACAUGGAGUCUUAAUAUGCUUCAGCCUACAAGAAGAGCCAUGAUAUAAUAUCCAACCCUGAAAGAAAAGAUUAGAUUUGGUCAUGCAAGUGUGCAUGUGCUUGUGUAAAAUUUUACAUGGUUAUGUAUGGCAUUACAUAUCAUUAAAUACACUCUCAAGUAGAGUCGAUGUGUAGUUAAAUAUAUAUUUCUUUAUUUUUUAUUUCUUCUC